ensembl:lncRNA
UUUUGGUUGGAGAUUGCUAUCUUGUGGUAUUUUCCUUGUAAGCCUAGAUCUUCAGAGAUGGACCGAAGAAUGGAGGGCUUGUUAAUGCAGUCUGCAUCAACUCUAUGGCUAAUCGCUGCUAGAAUUUUUAUGACUGCUUUGUGGUAAAGAUGGUAUCACUGAGACUUAUUCUAGAUGAAUCAUUCAGAUGAGGAGGUUGUGACAUGUCUAGCUCUGGGCAACAGCUUCUUGGAAAGGGCUUUCUUCCAUCGUGUUGAACAGUUUUGACAAGCGCAGACUGAGACAGCAGGCAUCUUGCAAGUGAUACUCAAUAGAAAUCUCCCUGACAUGGAAGAAGCACGUCAGAACUGGGCAGAAUAUGGCAAAAUUUCACUUUUUCAGUGCAUUAGCCUCAGCCAGCAGAGUCCCUGGCACAGGGAUGUGAGCACGAGCUUGGAAAUGUGUACUUCAGGCAGAAGCACAGAGACAGCUUGUCACCCACUGCUGGCUCCUCGUCAUUCUUCUCUGGCAGGAAGCACCCCCUUAAUCAGUGAACUUUUUCCUCUGAAAGGAGCAAAGUGUAUUAAGGUAGGGGUUCCUAAAGUUUUGUUUCUGGAGGGCUAUUUGAUAUCUGGGAAGAUCAUAAUAAAAGUCAGCUGCUGUUCAACACCUGGAGGCUUCCCCGUUCCCUCUCUUCCCUGUUCCAAGCCCCAUGGGGCUGUACAUUAAGCCAGAUAACCAGUCCUUUUAUUCUCCCAUUAUUGAAGCAAAGGCAAUAGUUACCAUGUUGAAUGGACUGGGAAUGCCUAUGGAGCAGACCUUACUGAGGACUCUUUGGGUUAAUGUAAAGGCAUAGAAUGAGCUGGGUCCUGGAAUGGGCAUUCAGUACUCCAGAAUCUCUCAGGAGUGUCACCAUCAGCCAUCCACCCAGACUCAUCCAUGGGGAUUACAGGCUUCCUUUGGGAGUCUCUGCGCAAGAAGGGAUCAACCUUUAGCCCUGUCCUAGCUGAGUGUUUCUGUGCUGUCACUUCCUUAUUUGUUAAAAAAUACACCUCUGUGCUUGUACAACAAAUAAAAAGGGAUGCUGUAAUACCAGGAAACAAAAAACCCACCUGUAAAACAACAGACCAAAUCCAGACUGCUGUUCCAACAUCUGGAUCUGCCUUAUGAAUUUGCUGUUCAUAAGUCCUUCCAUGUAUGGUUUAAACUUUUUCCUUGACAGACUUCUUGCUUCUAUAAGAACUGGCUCAAUUUCCCUUGGUUGCUGAAGCAGGAAUUCCAGACUCAUUUGUUUCUCCUGAAGAGGAAAACCAACUGUUGAUUCACAUUUCAGGUUCUUUGCAUUAUCCUAAUUACAUUUGUUGCACCUUGACCUCUCUUUGGAAUGACUCAAAAACAAUAUUUUUACUUUUUUUUGAAAAAAAAAAAGAGCUAGUUAAAAUCU